GACGAACGCUGGCGGCGUGCUUAACACAUGCAAGUCGAACGGAAAGGCCCUGCUUUUGUGGGGUGCUCGAGUGGCGAACGGGUGAGUAACACGUGAGUAACCUGCCCUUGACUUUGGGAUAACUUCAGGAAACUGGGGCUAAUACCGGAUAGGAGCUCCUGCUGCAUGGUGGGGGUUGGAAAGUUUCGGCGGUUGGGGAUGGACUCGCGGCUUAUCAGCUUGUUGGUGGGGUAGUGGCUUACCAAGGCUUUGACGGGUAGCCGGCCUGAGAGGGUGACCGGCCACAUUGGGACUGAGAUACGGCCCAGACUCCUACGGGAGGCAACAGUGGGGAAUAUUGCACAAUGGGCGGAAGCCUGAUGCAGCAACGCCGCGUGCGGGGUGACGGCCUUCGGGUUGUAAACCGCUUUCGCCUGUGACGAAGCGUGAGUGACGGUAAUGGGUAAAGAAGCACCGGCUAACUACGU
rnacentral:rRNA from 1 species